rnacentral:lncRNA from 1 species
UUUUUUUUUUUUUUUUUUUAAGAUUUAUUUGAGAGAGAAUGAACAUGUGCGAGCAGGGAGGAAGGGCAGAGGGAAAAGGAGACAAAUGGACUCUCUGCCAAUUGGGGAGCCUGACACAGGGCUUGAUCCCAGGACCCUGAGAAAUCAUGACAUGAGCUGAAACCAAGAGUCAGAUGCUCAACCAACUGAGCCCCCCAGGUACCCUCCCCCAGGUAUCCAGUUCUUAAAAAAAUAUAUUCUUUCCUGCCAAGCAUGGAAAACAAAUUAUUUUAUUUUUAAUUUAUUUUUAUUUAUAGAUUUUAUCUAUUUACUCAUGAGAGACCCACAGAGAGAGGCAGAGACAUAGGCAGAGGGAGAAACAGGUUCCCUGUGUGGAGCCUGAUGUGGGACUCAAUCCCAGGACCCCAGAAUGAUGAUGUAAGCCAAAGGCAGAUGCUCAACCACUGAGCGACCCAGGCAUCCCGGAAAACAAAUUAUUUUAGAGUAUUUUUUUAUGGUCUGUGGCCAUGAGAAACUGAAGAUUAUCCUGAUCCUAUCUUUUCCUUCCAACCUUGGUGGAAGUAAAAAUGACAACAAUAAUCUAAUGAAACUAGUUUGCAAUGCAUUUUUUCUUCAAAAUAAAGAUAUACUUUUAUUCCAUAGUCUUCAAAUGUAGUACUUACCACAGACAAGUAUUCUAAUUGAUCAAUUUUUCCCCUCAAAUAAUCUUUUCUGUUUACACUAUUCAGUAGCUAAGAGUGGGACAGGAGAUGGCUUUCAGAGUGAGUAUGAGUACAGCAAUCAUGCCCUAGAUACUAUCACACAUGUCCAGUCUCCACUGCAUCUGGGAAUCUGGACUUGAGACCAGGGAUAUAAAUAACCCAGCUCAGAGCAGAGCCGGACAAGAAUCUCAGGGGUUUCAGUUUACCAGAUCAUUCUGCUUGAUUUCGAGUGCCAGAAAUCUGUAGUUGAGGCAGCCAAUGGAUGCUGUCCUGCUGAGGAAUGACUCUGAGGGUGUAGUCUUUGAUUUGGGCUGAGGCUGCUCUUAUCCUCUCCUCCAAAAGGGAUGUUGUUGAAAUCUCUGCUAAAGGUAGAACCCAACCAUUACAGCUAUCACUGUGCUUGCCAACUCCCCUCUCUUGGUGAGGAUCGGCAGUAUUUCUUUCUCAGUCCUGUAUAACAAAACCAGCAGUGUCUGGAGACUGUGGAUGAUCAGUCAAUAAAUAUUUAAUAAAUGAAUUAAUGGGUAAUAAGACGCACUGAUCAGGAUGAAAUUUAGUUUGUAGAUGGCAUCAAGUUCCUGGCAUCUUAUUCCUCAUGCUUAAGCCUAUAUGACAUUUUUAUACCUAGUGACACUAUCAUAGUGGCUAGGAAACCAAGUCCUGGGUUUUCUGAUUCCCAAAUAUCUCUUGUCCCUUCCCCUUCCCCUUCUCUUCCUCUUCAUGGUCUGUCAUCUCUUACCUGAGUAUCUCUGUCUUCAGUCUCUCCACUCUCAGACGUUAAACUUUAGUUUUUAAAGGCACAAACCUAGUCAUGCAAGGUCCCUCUUUCAAAACUUUCUAUUCCUGUCCAACUUUGCUCCCUCACCACACCUACCCUCCCAUGAGAACCUCAGUGGCAAGGCUAACUAUGUAUAAAGAUGCACUUUUGCCAAUAACCUGUCUGAUGUCCCAGGUUGUUUUUACACAUUAAAUUGUUUUUUCAAUAUCUUAAUCAUACUUUUAUCUUCAAUAGGGGUUGUUCUAAUGUUUUACUUCCUAUUUAGUUUUUACUGUUUCUGGAAGAAACGUGUUUUCAAAAGAAGUAAACAUAUUAAUGUAAGAGAACACUAAUAUAUAUUAGCAUGUAAUCAUUGCCCCAAAAGAAUAAUUUAUGACAAAGAACUUUGUGCUAAGUGUAAAGUGCUGGCCUAUAUAUUAAAACAAUGCAUCAAUGCAAAGUGGUUUACAUCCUUAGAGCUUAGAGCAAUGACUCCUGACAAUAAUUUGGUCAGUCUAUAUUGUCCUAAUUUUCCCUAGGGAGAUCAAUCUGUGCAGAAGAAGAAAAUAUAAACCACUGGUCUCAUGGUGGAGGGUGGGAGCUGUGUCUUAAAAUACAGAAAGGAGGAAUGAAAAAAGGUAAGACAAAAGCAAAGUUAUCUGUCUACACAUUAACUCCUUAAAAAUAAUGGUGAACUAUUAAAGGAUUUAUUUUAAAGUAAUCUCUAUAUCCAAUGUGGCACUCAAACUUACAACCUCUGAGAUCAAGAGUUGCAUGCUCUACUGAGCCUGCCAGGUGCUCCAAUAAUGCUGAACUAUUGGACACAAUCACCUUGUCCCAUAUAUGAGAAAGGGAAAAAAAAGAUCAAACUGCCCAUUGUGGGAUUUUUCUAAUCAGCAUUUUAAACUGGAUUUUAAACCUUUUCAGACUUAAGUCAACUUCUCUCUCUCCAGAUGGCCCCUAUAACUUCCCUAGGGUGGAAAUCCCAACUCUCCGCUUCCUGCUGCUUCCCUA